CCCUUAGAUGCUCUGGGCCGCACGCGCGCUACACUGGUCGAUGCAACGAGUUUCUUUCCUUGGCCGACAGGCCUGGGCAAUCUUUGAACAUCGAUCGUGAUCGGGAUAGAUUCUUGUAAUUUUUGAUCUUAAACGAGGAAUUCCUAGUAAACGCAAGUCAUCAGCUUGCAUUGAUUACGUCCCUGCCCUUUGUACACACCGCCCGUCGCACCUACCGAUUGAAUGGUCCGGUGAAAUCUCCGGACUGGCGUGAGUCGGAGCAAUCUGACAAACACCGGAAAGUUGAUUAAACCUUGCCAUUUAGAGGAAGGUGAAGUCGUAACA
rnacentral:rRNA from 1 species